rnacentral:tRNA from 1 species
UGGGGAGGGUGGCGGGGACCACAUUAGCAAGUUUACAGCUUGCCACCUAAUUCAGCCACCUGCCC